GUCAAGGGCCAAAAAGGUACUGGUGCAGCCCAGAGAUGGGCAGAGGCAUCUGGUCCAACCUCCUUGCCAAUGAUGAGUGGCCAUGACAGACUGCAGUCUGCCCCAGUGAGCAGGGGCUAGAUGAUGACUGGCAGUAGCCACUAACAUGAGGUGGG